ACGCUAGCGGCAGGCCUAACACAUGCAAGUCGAGGGGUAACAGAGAGAAGCUUGCUUUUCUGCUGACGACCGGCGCACGGGUGCGUAACGCGUAUACAAUCUGCCUUAUACAGAGGGAUAGCCUUUAGAAAUGAAGAUUAAUACCUUAUAGUCUAUUUUUAUAGCAUUAUUUAAAUAGUAAAGCUUCGGUGGUAUAAGAUGAGUAUGCGUCCUAUUAGUUAGUUGGUAAGGUAACGGCUUACCAAGACAACGAUAGGUAGGGGCCCUGAGAGGGGGAUCCCCCACACUGGUACUGAGACACGGACCAGACUCCUACGGGAGGCAGCAGUGAGGAAUAUUGGACAAUGGAGGCAACUCUGAUCCAGCCAUGCCGCGUGCAGGAAGACGGCCCUAUGGGUUGUAAACUGCUUUUAUAUAGGAAGAAACCUUUUCACGUGUGAGAAGCUGACGGUACUAUAAGAAUAAGGACCGGCUAACUCCGUGCCAGCAGCCGCGGUAAUACGGAGGGUCCGAGCGUUAUCCGGAAUCAUUGGGUUUAAAGGGUCCGUAGGCGGGAAUCUAAGUCAGUGGUGAAAUCUUGCAGCUCAACUGUAAAAUUGCCAUUGAUACUGGAUUUCUUGAAUUAGUGUGAAGUGGUUAGAAUGUGUAGUGUAGCGGUGAAAUGCAUAGAUAUUACACAGAAUACCAAUUGCGAAGGCAGAUCACUAACACUAUAUUGACGCUGAGGGACGAAAGCGUGGGGAGCGAACAGGAUUAGAUACCCUGGUAGUCCACGCCGUAAACGAUGGAUACUAGCUGUUCGAUCUUCGGAUUGAGUGGCUAAGCGAAAGUGAUAAGUAUCCCACCU
rnacentral:rRNA from 1 species